UGUGCUGAGUUUAGUCCCACCGCCCCUCCCUCUUUUCUUAUGCAGUUCUAUCUUUUCAACUUGCAGGGCUUUCAAUUCUGUCUCAGAACCUACAAAUUCAUUACACACACACACACACACACACAUGAAUGUGUAAAUGACUUACAGAUUACAUCAAUUAAAAUGGAAAUGCAUGAUUAAAGAAUGCAAUCGCUUCAGUUAUCAGUUACUCAAUUCAAGUUUAUUUAUAUAUAUAUAAAUACCAUCACUUGAUCUGUGCACGCUCACAAAUUAGAGGUAACUAAACAAUUAUCCAAGUAAGGGAGGGAACCCUACAGAAUGCUCGAUUUUCCUAGCUAAGUGAUUAAUAUAUUUAGUACAAGAUUAUCAUGGAAAUGAACACAUCUAAUUUUC